GAGGUAAGAGGUACUACAGGGGUAGGAGUGAAAUCUUGUAAUCCCUGUGGGACCACCGUGGCGGAGGCGUCUUACCAGAACGGGUUCGACGGUGAGGGACGAAAGCUGGGGGCACGAACCGGAUUAGAUACCCGGGUAGUCCCAGCCGUAAACGAUGCUCGCUAGGUGUCAGGCAUGGCGCGACCGUGUCCUGGUGCCGCAGGGAAGCCGUGAAGCGAGCCACCUGGGAAGUACGGCCGCAAGGCUGAAACUUAAAGGAAUUGGCGGGGGAGCACAACAACGGGUGAGCCCUGCGGUUUAAUUGGACUCAACGCCGGACAACUCACCGGGGGCGACAGCAAUAUGUAGGCCAAGCUGAAGACUUUGCCUGAAUCGCUGAGUAGUGGUGCAUGG
rnacentral:rRNA from 1 species